GAUGAACGCUGGCGGCGUGCCUAAUACAUGCAAGUCGAGCGAACGGACGAGAAGCUUGCUUCUCUGAUGUUAGCGGCGGACGGGUGAGUAACACGUGGAUAACCUACCUAUACGACUGGGAUAACUUCGGGAAACCGGAGCUAAUACCGGAUAAUAUUUUGAACCGCAUGGUUCAAAAGUGAAAGACGGUCUUGCUGUCACUUAUAGAUGGAUCCGCGCUGCAUUAGCUAGUUGGUAAGGUAACGGCUUACCAAGGCAACGAUGCAUAGCCGACCUGAGAGGGUGAUCGGCCACACUGGAACUGAGACACGGUCCAGACUCCUACGGGAGGCAGCAGUAGGGAAUCUUCCGCAAUGGGCGAAAGCCUGACGGAGCAACGCCGCGUGAGUGAUGAAGGUCUUCGGAUCGUAAAACUCUGUUAUUAGGGAAGAACAUAUGUGUAAGUAACUGUGCACAUCUUGACGGUACCUAAUCAGAAAGCCACGGCUAACUACGUG
rnacentral:rRNA from 1 species